UUUGCGUUUGUUUUGUUCAUGUGUUGUUCAUGGCUUUGUUUCACCAUGGUUUCACAAGUCACAACCAGGCUUUUCAGCUGUCAAAUUUUACCAGAUGAUGUGAGGAGAGGAUGUCGAUAACUCGAUAAUGCCCAGUGUUGAAGAAGAAACUUAGAUGAUCUGCUGCAUGCAGUCCAUCGUGCUGGUGUGGUGAGCUGCUUCUGUCCAGUCUGUGAUGCUGGUGUUAUUAUCCUGCAUUGUUGGCCCUAGAUUGCUGACACAAUUGUGGAUUGUGGUGUUCGUGAUGGAAAUGAAGACUAUAGAUGCACAUGCUGUAAAAUGAAAAAGGUGUAAUAUUUAAUUAUCUAGAUAAUUGUUAUGGUGUGGUUGAAAUAAUACCAGUUCGAGUCACUCGUUAUGUAUGGGUAGAAUGUGUGUGUCCAUUUGGGAUUUGUUGCUGUUGCAGAUGUUUUCUGUUUAUAGACUCAAACAUGUUUUAAGUAUAUUUUCCUUCAUAAAUAGUAUUGCCAACUGAUAUCAUGGAAUCGAAAUUUUUGUCCAUGUAAUUGUGUUUGGUUUCACGCUGGGUUUGCUUAGUUAGUGAUAUAAAAAUAAAUAACAUGAAUAUUAA
rnacentral:lncRNA from 1 species